AGGAUGUGCUGUUGUAGAAAUAUAAUCGACUUUGGAGUGACUCAGCUUUGCAGCGUGUUGAUUCAUUUCCUCUAACCGUACACCCCCAAGUGUUUUAAUCCUUACAUGAUAUUAAAACAAAGCAGGUAACAAGUAAGGAGGAGGGCGACGAGGACGACAGCGUGCGCACGGAGGAUUUCAGCGCGAGGUUCCUGGAGGAAAUGCUGGACCCGACCAAGCCGAGCGCAGCCGGAUCUGCUCCAGACUUCAGCGCUCCAGAUUCUGCCAGUAUCAGCAGCGAUACCACACUCCUCACCGAACCACAGGUCACAAGCAGCCAGAACGCAGACCCGAUCCCCAGCGUGCUUUCUUUUAAAUCUCCCAGCAGGCAACUCGCGGGUGUUCCACUGAAAAGUUUCGACUUGGUCGCUAUAGACAGCGAUCUGGACUCCGUGUGUACAGAGCGAGUACGACACCACCUCCAGAGUACUCUCACCAACAGGAUAGCACAGGAAGAGUUCUUACAGAAUGGAUCAUGUGACGGAAGAACCAGCGUGAAAACCAAGCAACGAGCCGAAAACCAAACAUUCAGCUCUGAAGACGAGGUGAACAGUGUGUGUGUGAGGCGCUACAGAGCGCUGAGAUCUCCAGUCAGCAUCCAGCGAAGAGAGAAAAGGAACCAAAGCAGGAGGAACACCAGCUCCAGCAGCUCUACAGCCUCAACAUCAAACAAAGGGAAGGCUGAUGACAAGAUCAGAUCAGAAUUCAGCUAUGUGGAAUUGUCACUUGCAGAACUGCAGCAGCAAAAAGUGGCAGCUGUACAGGUCGUAGAGAGAUUGAGGAAGGAGGUUGAGCAGGCUGAGAAAGAGCAACACACAUUGCAUCUUAGUGUGACUCACACCAGGACACACACUCAGCUCCUCAGGAGCGAGCUGCACAAACUCCAAGCUCAGAGGGACUUGUACAUUCAGGAGGUCAGGGCUCUGCAGGAUAGCCAGGCUGCCCUGCAGAGACACAUAACCACUGUCCACCAUGACGCCAGCCCUCGUAGGCAUGUGAAUCACGGUUGUGUAUCAGCGCUGGAGAGGCAGGAGAUGGAUCGGCUUUUGGACAACGCCAAAUCGGAGCUGUUCUCCGAGCAGCGUCGCUUCAGACACACGCUGGACUCCAUGCAAGAGAGAUUGGAGGAAGUGACCCAGGAGCUGGAGCAGAAACUGGAGGAGAACAGGAAGCUCCGAGAGAAGUGCUCCCAGCUGGAGGAGAAGCUGACCACGGUCACCAAAACGAGACAAGAGCUACAGGAAGUACGUUCUCUCACUCUCUCUCGUGUGUGUGUGUGUGUGUGUGUGUGUGUGUGUCUCCUGGUCCGUUUGUCAACCUCGGCCUCUGUCUUUACGUCUCAGUCUGUACAGAGCGAACGAGUGGAGCAGGAGGACCGGCUCCGGGCUCUGGAGAAGAUCAUUGCACAGAAGGAGCUGCUUGUUCUGGAAACGCAGGAGGAGAAGAAUCGCCUGGAGAUGGAGAUCGGGGCUGUCAGGGAGGAGCACAGCGCUAAGCUAAAAGCAGCGCUGGGACACGCGCAGAAACAGAAGGUGUUUUGCAGUAACAGAGGGGAUCUUUUAGUGUUUGUGUCUUUUGGAGAACAUGCACAAAAGUCCUGUAUGUGUUCUCUCCACACGUCUCUGCAGGAAGUGGAAGUGGAGCAGCUCAGGACUCAGAUGACUCUGACUCACACGGAAGAGUUACAGCGGGUCCGUAUUCAGGUGCAUGAGAUAAAAGAAGCUGCGCUCAGAGAGCAAGCCGUCACACACACACGCCAAACUGAGUCCUUACACAACCGCAUCCAGAUGAAAGAGGAAGAGGUGAACAGACUGCAGGAGUCUUUAAAGGAGCAGCAGGAGGAACUCAGGAGGAGAGAAGAGGAGCUGAGAGGAGAUACUCAAGAACAGGUGAGGAGGGCAGUGGCGCGAGAGCAGAGGAGGUGGGAGGAGCAGAGGGCGGAGUCUCUGCGAGAGCAGCAGGUCAGACUGGAGAAGCAGAUGCAGGAGGUGGAGAGGAGAGGGAGAGCGGAGGUGGAGAGAGAAAAAAGGAGUGCGCUGGCUCUGCAGAAUAAAGUGCUGGAGCUGCAGAAGGAGUUGGACAGCACGGUGUUAAAGCAGACGGCUGUGAUCAGAGCUCUGCGAGACGAGCACCAGACAGAGUUAUAUAAAUUGCGCAGACAGCUGCAGCAGGAGGCUGAGAGCGAAGGCGUGCGUCUGAAAGAGUGUGUGAGGCGGAGCGAGCAGGAGCUGCAGGGCGUGAGGGCAGAGCUGGCAGAGUGUGAGCGUCUCCAGCAGGGGGCAGCAGCGAGAAACGAACAGCAGAAGGCCAGCUGGACUCAGGAUAUACACACUGAGUGUGUGUGUCUGCAGGAGCUGCUCACUCAGAACGGCUUCACCGUGGACAAUACACAUCUGUCACACAGUGUUACAGUGAGUGAGGCGGUGAAGGUGCUGCAGUCUCUCAGGAAGUCACUCCAACACCUCAUCACCAGCCUGCAGGAUCACAUCACCUCCCUGACACACACCAAGCAACAGCUCAGUACUGAUAAAGAGGAGGAGCUGCGUGUGCUGAGGGACCAGUUAACGUCUGAGAAGGAGAGAGCUGUAAAUGCAUUGAGGGAAAAACUUAUACAGGAGCACAUCGAGGAGCUGAGCAGUCUGAACAGGGUGCGUCUGCGUGACGAUGACGACGGUGAGGGCGUGGCUGCGCGUCUGCGCAGGCAGCUCCAGGCUAAAGACGAAGAGCUGCGUCAGGUGCAGAGGAACAUGGUGCAGUGGAAGGAGAAAACCACGGCACGGCUCGCACGCAAGUUCGAACAGGAGCUCACGUGUGAGCUGGAGAGGAAAGCCUGCAGACUAAAAUCAGAGCCGCGUCGGAGGCUGGAGCAGCUCGAGGGAGAGAUGAGACACCUGACUGCGGUAAAAUCACUCAUCACACCAUGUAUCCAUCCAUCCAUCCAUCUAUCCAUCUUCUAUACCGCUUAUCCUUUUCAGGGUCACGGGGGAACCUGGAGCCUAUCCCAGGGAGCAUCGGGAACAAGGCGGGGUACACCCUGGACAGGGUGCCAGUCCAUCGCAGGGCACAAUCACAUACACACUCACACACCCAUUCAUACACUACGGACGCUUUAGACACGCCAAUCAGCCUACCAUGCAUGUCUUCGGACUGGGGGCGGAAACCGGAGUACCCGGAGGAAACUACACCAUGUAUAUGCGCAGUAAGAAUUUAUUACAGUCACUGAAAAGAAUUUAACAGCACACAAACGUCAGUACCCUGUAAGAACCGGGCGCCUGGGGUUCCCGGAUUAAGACCCGAUGACGUCAUGCUGUUGGAGGAAAAUAAUCAACGAAGGCAUGCUGUGAUGACGCGGAGUCACCGUCUGCACGACGCUGUUGAUUAUUUUCCAAUAACAGCAUGUCCAGGAGCGUUUGAUUCGGCUUCUACCACAGCAGUUUACCAGUGAGUACGUUUGUUUGUUUGUCUGUAUAAUGUUGUGGAAAGUCUGCAAGUUAGUUCGCGUUAUCACGCACGUUAGAGCAGCUGUAGACGGUCGUUCCGUCACCAGCCGCUCUUUUGUUUCUUACCGCUAAUAAGAGUAAAUAAAUAAGACCAAAAAAAAAAUGGAGCAACGUGUAAUGUUACAGAGAAACCCAGAAAGAGUGAACUCUUCGGUCCUGAAUAAUAAAUACAAAACAUGGUAAGGUUGUUUCUGAAUGAUUAUUUGUCGUGUUAGCGGUUUAAAAUCCUAAAUUUGUAAUGAGGAUAUUUAAGUUUUGGUGUUUUUUUUUUUUUUUUUGCUACUGAUUUUCAUUUAAGCCUUAAGUUUAGGUUUACGCUUUGGCAACUUUUUUGUUUUAAAAGAAAGAAAGAAAUAAAAACGGGUUUUAAAACGAAACUGAUGGUGAAAUUCCGGAAUGUAUUUUAGAUUGAAAUCCUUUCAAGGGGAAUCGAGCACACAGACCGGUCAGAGUUCAAAACAGGAAAUGUUAGCACUGGCAAGACGAGACGUACGUUAUCGUGUCACGAAAUAUAAGAGCCAAUCGUUUUCCGGUAUGCAAAUUUUCUUGAUAAUGUAACAGCAUGUUAAGAAAAGGAGGUAGGGGGGUGUGUGUGUGGGGGUUUUUUGUUUUGUUUUUUUUUUGAGAUGUUGAAUAAUCUAUUAUUCGCUGUGGGAACAUUUUGGGUGAACAUUUUGGCUUGCUCACUACUCCCAGAGCUCCAGUGAGAUCACGGCCAUCCCAGCAUUCUCUGCUUCCUCGGCUCACGUCCCAGACACUGCCAGCAGCCACGACCUGGACUCAUACAAACUACUGCGCCACCUCCAGAGCCGCAUCCGGCAGCUGCAGGCUGACACACAGAGCCACACACACACCUACACACCCAGCGCUGCGCGUCUAAACCGGGAGCGGGGGAACACCGAGCUGGCUGGAUCCUACCUGGAGACAGUACGUAACAUCACCAUGGCUUAACUAGGAUGCGUUUUUAAUUGGCACUGGAAUUGGUAAACAGUACGAAACGUCGUCUAUACUACUUAACUGUAAGAAAAUAAUGAAAUAACGCGGUUUCUUUUUCCUAGAUCGCUCCAGCGCUGGAGAGCUCUGUGACACGACAGCACUCUGAUUUGAAAACAGCCCUGAACCCUAACCUUUGACCACUGACUAUAUCCUUAUUUUAUUUAUUUAUUUUUUUUGUGAAGCAUCAUGCUGAGACUAUUGUGAGUUUACACCUGUCAGCCUACUCAUAAGAGUCGACUCUUUCGACUCUCAGAAGGCUUGUUGUCAUUUUUAUCUCAAAUAAUAGAAUAGUAAAGGAACUACAGAAAGGUA